rnacentral:rRNA from 1 species
GUGGUCACUGCACCUAGAGAAGGGCUUUCCCCUUCGGGGGACAGAGUGACAGGUGGUGCAUGGUUGUCGUCAGCUCGUGUCGUGAGAUGUUGGGUUAAGUCCCGCAACGAGCGCAACCCUUGAUCUUAGUUGCCAGCAUUCAGUUGGGCACUCUAAGGUGACUGCCGGUGACAAACCGGAGGAAGGUGGGGAUGACGUCAAAUCAUCAUGCCCCUUAUGACCUGGGCUACACACGUGCUACAAUGGAUGGUACAAAGGGCUGCAAACCUGCGAAGGUAAGCGAAUCCCAUAAAGCCAUUCUCAGUUCGGAUUGCAGGCUGCAACUCGCCUGCAUGAAGCCGGAAUCGCUAGUAAUCGCGGAUCAGCAUGCCGCGGUGAAUACGUUCCCGGGUCUUGUACACACCGAAGCGCUUCCUCCUAUCUCCUCCACGUCUUCCUCCCUUUUACUACCCCCC